ACCCUCGCGCGGUUCCGUAGCUCACGCCGCAAGCCGGGUGUUUGCAAUGGCGGACGUGUCUGAAAGGACUCUGCAGGUCUCCGUGCUAGUGGCUUUUGCCUCUGGAGUGGUCCUGGGCUGGCAGGCGAAUCGGCUGCGGAGGCGUUACCUGGACUGGAGGAAGCGGAGGCUGCAGGACAAGCUGGCGAUGACUCAGAAGAAGCUGGACCUGGCCUGAGCGCGCGCCGCGGCCCGGGCACGCAGGGUUCUCGCAAGCCCAGAUGUUGGUGAGCAGCGCGCGACCACUAGCCCCUUGUUGAAGAUGGAUAUGAAGCACUGGAAGAAAAUCAUUUCUUGGCACUUUAUGAAUCUAUUUUUAAAAUAAAAAAUGUAAACAUCUUUGAAUCCUUUCCCUCCUCGCAAAGGGAAGGAUUAUUUUGCUACAGUAA